rnacentral:rRNA from 1 species
AUUGAACGCUGGCGGCAUGCUUUACACAUGCAAGUCGAACGGUAACAGGCCGCAAGGUGCUGACGAGUGGCGAACGGGUGAGUAAUGCAUCGGAACGUGCCCAGUCGUGGGGGAUAACGCAGCGAAAGCUGUGCUAAUACCGCAUACGAUCUAUGGAUGAAAGCGGGGGACCGUAAGGCCUCGCGCGAUUGGAGCGGCAGAUGUCAGAUUAGGUAGUUGGUGGGGUAAAGGCCUACCAAGCCGACGAUCUGUAGCUGGUCUGAGAGGACGACCAGCCACACUGGGACUGAGACACGGCCCAGACUCCUACGGGAGGCAGCAGUGGGGAAUUUUGGACAAUGGGCGCAAGCCCGAUCCAGCAAUGCCGCGUGCAGGAAGAAGGCCUUCGGGUUGUAAACUGCUUUUGUACGGAACGAAACGGCCUGGGUUAAUACCCUGGGCUAAUGACGGUACCGUAAGAAUAAGCACCGGCUAACUACGUGCCAGCCGCCGCCGUAAAAC